rnacentral:lncRNA from 1 species
AGUGGAACGUACACAUCUUUCACAAAAUUAGACACUUUUUGAGGACAACCUUCACUUAGAAAAUUUAAACACUUAUUCCAUUUAAUCUCUUCUUCUUCUCCACGAAGUGUUUUUGCAACAACUGAUAUCGCUAAAGGUAGCCCUGCACACUUUCUACAUAUUUCUUGUGCUAUAUGGUUUAUUCUAAGAUGAUUAGGGUUAUUAUUAUCAUCAAUAUAGGAAUAUUUUCUGAAGAACUUCAAAGAUUCAGUUUCAUCAAGUCUUGCAUUCAUCUUGAUCUGUUCGGCCCCCAGUCUCUGACAAAUAUCUUGGUCUCUGGUUGUCAGAACAAUCUGACAACGUAGAUUUUCAUCAUUAAUGUCGAUACCGAUAUCAGUAAAGUUUAGAUCAUCCCUUACAUCAUCGAAUAUAAUCAAACUUACAAUUCUUUUCAAAUGAUAUGAAAUUAUUCCUGCUCUGACACGGAUCUCAUCUUUAGUCUUGAAUUCUUUUAACUCUUUAGUGGAGUAAAAACUACGAGCGAUAUUAUUUUGGAUGGUCUUGGUAUCAUUGUGUGAUACUGUUACCCAAAUAACAAAAAUGUUACCCCUUUGUCCCAUUUCAUUGUUAAUCUGCUGCAUCAAUGUGGUCUUCCCAAUUCCUCUCAUUCCCCACAACCCAAUCACUCUUUUAUUAUCUAAUGCUGCAUAUACUGAAUUUUUAGUACCUUCAAUAGAGUCAACUGAUAUGUAGUCGAUGGGUUGAUGCUCCACACCUUGCAAAUAACCGGCCUAACAACGCAAUCUUCUAAGCAAAUCCCUUAACUGAGGAGAUAGAAAUUCCAAACAUCGUGGUACACCCCAAUCUACCACUGCUAAUACUGCCUGUUUUACUAUAGGUAAUAUGCAAGCUGACACCAUCUAGAGUCCCCUCACUGCAACAAAUACACUUUCAAUUUUGUUAUUAUCGAGUAAAGUUAAAUAUAAAGAUUGGAUUUUUAAUAGAAAUAUAAAUCCAUAAAUUAAAAACACUAGAUAUAGAUAACAUAAAUCCAUAAUAAAAAAAGUAACUUAAAAACUCAAAUAUAAAAACAUAUAAAAACAGUAACUAAUUAAAAACUAAAAUAGAUAAACUCUAAACCCUAAACUAAAAACUCUUAACCCUAAACUAAAACACCCAAAAAUACAUAAACCCUAAAAUACACAAAUCCCAAAUACAUAAACACUAAAAUAGAUAAAACCCCUAAAUACAAUAAUCAAAUAAACCCCAAAUCAAAAUAAAUAAAUGAAGAUCAACAUUAAAUCAAUAUUUAACAUAAAUAAUCACAAAAUCAAUAAACCCCAAAUCAUAAAAAGAAGAUUACAUGAAGAAGAAAAUAGAAGAAUACAUGAAAAAUAAGAAGAAAAACGGGAAUAAGAAGAAGAAGAAGAAAUAAAUCAAGAAGAAGAGAGAAAGAUGAAGAAGAAGAUGAAAAGAAGAUUUACCUUUGAUGACCACAAGAAGAUGACCGGAGUGGAGUUGGGGAAGCCUAGAUCGUCGGAGGAGAGUUGGGGAAGAUUAGGGAGGAGUGGAAACGAUUUGGGGGGAAAUGAAAGAAUCUGGAUUUUUUUUCUUAUAUAAAAAAUUUCCGGCGGCCAGGCCGCCAGGAAAUACUUAAGUUCGAGUUGACUACGUUUGACUAUACGAGGGACCACGACAGCGCAAGUUGUAAUUUUAGGGUUUCUAAAAAAUCCUAGCGACCAGGCCGCCGGCUACUAAAAAAAUAAACGGGAAAAAGUAUCCAGCGGCCAAGCCGUCAGAAAUUUCUCUCCCGACCGUUGAGGGUUUUAGGAUACCGUCGGCCUAGUCACCGGCUCACUUCUUCCCGACCGUUGGGGAAAUUGGAGCUGGCGGCCAGGCCGCUGGAUUUUUUUACAAAAAAAUAUACCGUCGGCCUGGCCGCCGGGAGAUGGGCGCCAGAAUUGUGCUGGUUUUUUGUAGUGGACGACCGCAGCAGCGUCGGCAACAACUUUGGAAGUGGCCUGGGUCGCCUCGACCACCCCGUCCACAUAAACCCGAUGCGCCUCGACGUCUUUGGAAGCAUCCUCCACCAACUGAUCCCGCUUUUUGAGAGCAGUCGAGAGUUCACCCGUCAAGCGACCGACCUGGUCUUACAAUUGCGUUAACUCCUCAGCCUGAUCGGUGCCCCGCUGAAGACGGAUCCUCGAAAGAGCGGAGAGGUGGAGCAGCUGAUGGUAGAAAUCACGGUUGAGAUCCGGGAGGUCACGGAAGAACUGUCUCUGAUACUCUUCCUCUUUUUGCAUCCAAGACUCGAUGUUGUUGUAGCUCUCCAGAAGUAUCCCAGCGAGACGGGGAACAGACGAAGAGGGUUCGACCUCCGAAACACGAUCGAGGAACUUAGAUGAAAUAACGCAGGAGUUAAGCAACGCCUGAAAGUUGUGGUCCUCCAGACCCUCGGACAAGUCGACUCUCGAGCGCUCAAGCCCCCUGCUCACCGCCCGAAUGGGGUUUUUCAGGAGAAGAGGCGGGGUUUUCUUCUUCUUCUUCUUCUUCUUCUUCUUCUUCUUCUUCUUCUCGACAAUCACUUUCCUCUUCUUCUUCUUCUUUUUAUCCUUCCGCGAAUCAACAAGGACAACCUCAAAACCGGCAUUGGAGCGUGCAGGCGAAGGAGACAAAACUGGGAUCUCUUCAGAGGACCAUUUUUUAUCCAUCUGAAGCGGGACAUCUCGCUGGUAAUCCAACCGAAGUGCCAACUUCAUAUGUUUGUCAAAGGUCCAAGACGACCCCAAUACUCGCGAACAUCCACGGCCCUCGAUGAAAGACACGGAUGAGCACCUCGUGCGCGUUCUUUUCCUAAGGCUCCAAGUCAGCCAUGGCAACGGGGGUCAUGCGGGUCUUCAGCAUACUAAGAAGGGCCCAUCGGGUCGAAGGCGGCGAGUCAACAUCAAUCGGGCCAAUGACUCCCACCGACACGAGGAAGUAGCGAUCGCGCCAAUUAUGGGAACGAUCGAUUAUGUGGUCUAGGAUCGGAUACCCCGCACGCCCGGAGAUCAGCACACGUCGAGGGUCCGUGGGCAUCGAGAGAAACUGGUACCAAAUCCGGAACACGGACAACGAGACCUCGAUCCCACACUCCUGACAGAGCAAGGAAAAGGUGGUGAGGUGGUCAAUGACGGCCGGAGGGAGUUGCGAGAACAUCACUCCGCAGUAGCGCACCAUUUCAUUCAGAAAGGGAGAAAGGGGCAACUUCAGACUAGCAUCGGCGUACGGAGUGUAGAGAGAAAUCAUGCCGGACGGCGGACGAGAAGCGAGCUGGCCUCCCGCCUCCUCAAACUCGAUAACAUCAGGGCUUAUCCGCGCCAGCUACUCGUGGAUGGCCUCGAUGGUAACGACUGUCGGUGGGUCUUUGAUGUCGGGCAAAUCAAACAUUCCGGUGAGGAUAUCCAUGCCAGAACAGCGGCGAUCGACUAAUCGAUGGUUGUCGGAAGAGUGGCCAUCACAAACCUAGAAGGAGAAACCGAAGAAUGGAGAGCGGGAGAAGGGAAGAACAAAAGUGGAAUGUGAAAAGUGAAGAAAAGAAACGGAAGGGGGGUUAUAGUAUGAGGUCCGACACACAGACCACGAUAUUAAAAGACGUAUCCCAAAAUAUCGAACACGUAAAGGAGGGGGGAAUACUGGUGAUACAGUAUCCCGAACUUGGUCACCACGCACCAGCAACUAAAGAUUCGGAUCACUUCCUGGUAGAGAUCAAGCUUAACUAUUGUAUUUUAUUUAUUUUUAUCUGCCUAAAACAAUAUUUACUAUGUUUGUAUGCUUGUUUGUUUUUAGGAGAUCUUCACUAAUUUUGAUUGAAAAAUCUCUUUUGUUAAGAGAUAAUCAAGUGAAGAUCAUAAAUAGUUAUGCUUAAUCUUUGCUCGUUUAAGCUACUUGAUGUGUUUUAUUUCAGUAUGUUUUAUUCAAGUUAUCUUAUUUAUGCUUAAGCUAUAUUUGAUAUGUUCUCCUUAUAUAUUGCUUAAAUUAUAAUAUUUAUCUUGUUUUAUACUUAAGCUACAUUUGAUAUAUCUUCUUUAUAAUUGCUUAAGUUAUAAUUGUAGAAUUUAUUUUAAAUGCAUGCUCUAUAUGCCUAUGUGAUUUUUACAUGCAACUAUCAUAUUCAAUACUUUACAUCAUUACAUACUUGUAUAUGAUAACAUGCACUCACGUUUAAUACAUGCAUGUUAAAACAUAAACCCAUAAUAUAAUUGAUUAAUUUUAUCAAAAAAAUCAUUUAGAAAAUUUAGGGGUUUAAAUGCAAAAAAUCACAUGCAUAUUGAGAUGAUAAAUAUUCCAUUUAGUCCAUUGCAUUUAACUUAUAUUUAUUGGGCUAAUACAUAUAUCUCAAUAGUUCAAGUCGAUUUUCAUAAAUAUAUAUAUCACUUGGAUUAGGGCAAAUGCAUAAAAAGAUUCUCAAGUCAUUCAAGUCAUUUACGUGAAAUUAUUUCAUCUAUGCAAAAAUAGAAAUUCACGUAAAAUAAUUUGGAUAUAUGCUUAAUGGAUAUCUUAUGAUCCAUAAUGGGCAAAUACUUUAUUUUAAAUUAAUUGGCCCAUAUUAUAUGACUUUCUAAAAUAAUUGUUACUAUCUAGAAAAGUCAAAGAAACAAGGUUAAAGUCAAAAUUCGGAACACCUCUUUGUUAUAUUGCAAGGGGAGAAAGACCCAGGUAUGAUAUAACCUGAUAUAGGCCAUGAACGUUUCUUGAAAACGGAUUUAACAGAUUGAAGUAAUCUGUCCAGAAUGAUGUCACGAAAGCAAUGAAACAAUAAUUCUUGAUUAGGGUUUAAACUCCCUUGAGAAUCGAUUGAAGAUUGAACGAUUAUCCCAAUCCAAGGAUAAUCGAUAAUUGUGAAUUGGAAAGAAUUGUAGAAUCUAUGGAAAUAAAGGAAGAAAUAAAUAAAUAAAAGAAGAAUUAACGUUGACAAAUACCUAGAAUAAAAUAAAACUCAACUAGUCUCCACCUUUAGGGUCCACUUAUAUUUAUACUCUCAUUGUUUAAGAGUGGAAAGUCUACCAUGAGAGUCCAAGGGCUCGAUUAGAAUCGAGUCUAUUAGUAAUGCAAGCACUUAUAAGGACUGCAUCAGGCGACCCAUCUUGGAAUACAAUUGUCCUUAAUUGGUUGUCUUCCUCUGCAGGUAGAUAAUAUAUUCUUAAAUUUGCCACAUUGAAGGUUGAUGACAUGUUGAAUUCUGGAGGUAGAUCUACUAUAAAAGCAUUGUCACUAAUCUUCUUUAGUAGCUUGCAAGGUCCAAAAUUCCUGUCCUUCAGUUUAAAAUAAGAUCUUGCUGGAUAUCUGUCUUUUUUUAAGUGAACCAUUACCAAAUCAUUUUCAUUGAAAGUCCGAAAUCUUCUAGACCUAUCAGCUCUUUCCUUGUAGAGAUCAUUGGCUCUGGUUAUUGAUUCUUCUACUUGCUUGUGUAUUAAUUUGCUGGAUUCUAUAAUAUCUUCUACCUUCUUAUUUACUGAAGGUGUGGAGGUAACUGUAGAAUCAAAAUUAUCGAUAUAGGAUUAUAUUUUAAUCAUGUUAAUUUUAACCCUAAUUACACUAUUGAUCUAACGGUUAAAAUUAGUCAAGAUUAAACCUAUCUUAAAUUAAUUAAGUUAAAGGUUUAGUCAAAGUCAAAUAAGUACAAUUGCAUAAAACACCUUGAAUAUAAUUAUUAUUGUUAUCUAACAUUUUAUUCAAGGUACAAUAACUAAUGAACAAGAGAUACUAUUCACAAAGAAAUCUUCUCAAGGGGACAAAGAUAGCUUUAUUAGAAAUUAUUAUUCACAAAAGCAAGCAUCUACUAUUCAUAAAAGAAUCUUUCCAAGAAAAGAGAAGACAAGUCUUGGACUUUUGUGAGGAAUCAAGGAACCAUCCAUUGAAGAUCCAAGGGUUGACAAGUGAUGACCUAGGCUAUAAAUAGAAGGGCAAACCCUCCAUUUUCGUCCACCACACUUCAAGCACUUCAAAGAGUUUUUCGGUCCUCAUCUUGAGAUCUACAAAGUGUUCUUGCUUCCAAGUUUUCAAGCUUCCAAAAGCUCUCAAGUGUUCUAGCUUCCAAAAGCUUCAAAAUUAAAGCUCUCCAACUUCUACUUCUAACCUUUUUGUUCAUCUUUACAAGUAAAAAAAUUUGUGUGUUUAAUAUUCCACUCCUCUAAUCAUCUCUUGUGUGUGUCCACUUUAGUUGAGAGGUUUGUCUCAAGAUCACCAAAGUGUUAAAGAAGGUUUUUGAGCUAAACCAAAAAGCUCUAAGUUUGGUUUUAUAGAGUUUCCGGAGAAAACUCUUAGAUCGAAUCUACUUUGAAAGAUUUCUAAGUUUUUAAGAGUUCCUUGAUACUCUAAGGUCCUAACUUACCCGUAAAAGUUAGAGGUUUUUAAGAGUUCCAUAAUACUCUAAGGUGUGAGUCUACCCGUAAAAGACUGAUUUCUAAGCGAAGUUAGCCUUAAAGCUUAGAGAGGUUCUUAAGAGUUUCCUUGAUACUCUAAGAUGUGAGUCUACCCGUAAAAUUAAAGACUGGUUCCUAAGCGAAGUUAGCUUUAAAGCUUAGAAAGGUUUUUAAGAGUUUCCUUGACACUCUAAGGUUUUGCCAUAACCUUUAGGCUAGUGAACUCGGAUAGUUUGUCGGGACUGGAUUAGCCCUUGUUUGGAUGAACCAGUAUAAAAUCUCUUGUGUUGUUCUCUGUUAACUUUAGUAUUUAUCUAUCAUCUAAAAACUGCCAAACAACACUUAAUUUAACGGAUCCCUCUUUCAGUUACCUGGUCAAGAAUAGAGGUUGACUACUUUCCGCAGAUCUCUCAUCCAGUUAUCUGGUCAAGCAUCUGAGGUUAUUUUUAUUGUUCAAAUCUCUAUCCAGUUAUCUGGUCAAGUAUUUACUUAACAUUUUAUAUCCAGUUAACUGGUCCUUUACUCUAUAUUAUAACGUGCACUUAUAAUAUAACUUAGUAUCAAUAUACUACACUAUCUAAUAAAGCACUAUCUAAUAAGUUGACUCAGUAUUCAUAUACUGAAGUAAACUUUGAAGAGAAAAGGCAAGUUCAUAUAUAUGUAUAUAUAUAUAUAUAAUAUUAUAUUGUAAGAUAUAAUAUUAUAAUCAUUUUUAUUGUUGAUCAACCAUUUGUGUAUUAAGUGUUUACAGGUAAUUUCGCAUUUAACCUGUCCAAAUCGAAAAGAGGCUAUUAUCCCCUCUUAUAGCCUCGGAUCACGAUCCAACAGUAACAUUCAUUAUAUUCUUUGGAAGGUGGCCAUAGGCAGCUACAAAAGGUGCACAUCCCGUUGAUCUAUUUGGCAUGCAAUUAAAGGCAAAUUCCGCUUAAGCUAAAUGUUGAUCCAACUGUUUUGGUUGUUUCCCUCCUAGUGCUCUUAAUAGAUUUCCAAGUGACCUGUUAACUACUUCUAUUUUUCCAUCAGAUUGUGGGUGACAUGUAGAACUGAAUUUCAGAUUUGUGUCAAAUCUCUUUCAUAAAAUUCUCCAAAAGUGAGAUAGAAAUUUUGUGUCCCUAUCUGAUACGAUGCUACUUGAAAUGCCAUGAAGUCUUAUAACCUCAUUGAAGAAUAAUUUUGCAAUGUGAGAAGCAUAAUUUGUUUUUUUACAAGCAAUAAAGUGCACCAUCUUCGAGAAUCUAUCGACUACUACAAAAAUAGAAUCCAACCCUUUACUAGUUUUAGGUAGCCCAAGGACAAAAUCCAUAGAAAGGUUAGUCCAUAGUUUUUUAGCUACUGGUAAAGGGGUGUAAAUACCACUAUUCAGACUAGUGCCUUUUGCUUCUUGACACCUAGGACAUCUUUGCACAAAUUUUUCUACUUCUUUUCUUACUCUCGGCCAAUAAUAUCUGCUUUCUACUUGGGCUACUGUUUUAUCUCUCCCAAAAUGGCCAGCUAAUCCUCCCGAGUGUAAAUCCCUUAUUAAUUGCAGUCUCAAGGAUGUCUGAGGAAUGCAUAAUCUAUUUUCCUUGAAAAUAAAUCCUUCAUUGAUUUUGAAACCCUUAUUGUGUUUUUUCUGAAGGCAUUCCUCCCAAAUUCUCGAGAAAUCUUCAUCAGUAGGAUAUAAUUCUUUUAGACAAUCAAACGCUGCCACCUCUAAUCUUAGGACUGUUAAUAAAGAAUUUUUUCUGCUUAAUGCAUUGGCUACCUUGUUACUUGCACCAGAUCUAUGCUUUAUUGUAAAUUUGAAUCUCUGUAAGAAGGAAAACCAUCUGAUGUACAUUCUGUUAGUAUCAAAAGUUCCAUUUAUCUGUUUCAAAGCUAUAUAGUCAAUAAGGACUACAAACUCUCUCUGAAUUAAAUAAGGAUCCCACACCUUGCAUGCUCUGACAACAGCAAAUUUUAAUUCUUGCUCGUAUGUGAUCUAAUUUUUUCUGCUUGCAGUGAGUUUCUCACUGUGAAUUGCUACUGGAUGACCACUCUGACUUAGUACUGCGCCUACUCCAGAAAUGCUGGCAUCACAUUCUACUUCAAAAAAAUUAGAAAAAUCCGGAAGAGCCAAUACUGGUGCUGUUUGGAGUUUAUUUUUUAAUUUCCGAAAAAUGACUGAAGCCACAUCUGUCUGAAUUUCCUUUUCUUUAAACAGUCUGUUAUGGGACUAGCUAUUGAACUGAAAUUUUUUAUAAAUCUCCUAUAAAAAGAGGUUAGGCCCAUAAAACUACGUACCUCAGUGACUGAAGAAGGUGCAUGCUGGCCAAUUUUGUAGUGCUUCAGUUUCUCUUGGAUUCAUUUUCAUUCCAUGUGUCCCAAUGAUAAAUCCUAGAAAGCAUAGUUCCUCCGUAAAAAAUCGCACUUUUUCAGAUUUAAUUUUAGCUGAUUUUUCUCUAAUAAUCCGAAAACUGAUUUUACAUCUUUAAUGUGGGCUUCUUUGCUUUUGCUAAAUACUAAGAUGUUAUCAAAAUACACCACGACGUAGUUUCCUAACAAUGGUUUCAGUACCUCAGUCAUCAAUCUCAUGAAUGUUGAUGGUGCAUUGGAUAAUUCAAAUGGCAUCACCAUCCAUUCAUACAAGCCUUUCCUGGUUUUAAAAGCUGUUUUCCAUUGAUCCCCCUCUCUAACUCUGAUUUGGUGGUAGCCACUCUUUAGGUCCAUUUUAGAAAAAAAAUUAGCUCCUGCCAAGGCUUCCAAGAGCUCAUCCAGUCUUGGAAUAGGGAAUCUGUACUUCACCGUGAUUUUGUUUAUCGCCCUACUAUCCACGCACAUCCUCCACUCUCCAUUUUUCUUUGGGACUAAGAGUACAAGUACGGCAAAGGGACUUAAACUCGUUCUGAUCAAACCGUCUACUAGUAGUUGUUCUACUUGAUUCUGAAAAAUUUCAGCCUCUUUAGGUCCUAAUCUGUAGUGGGGCAGAUUAGGUAGAGAUGCUCCCGGAAUCAAGUCUAUUCUUGGUCAAUUUCUCUCUCAUGUGGUAGUGAUACUACUGAAUUAUUUAAGGAGAUAAGUGGAAACUCCUUCAGAAUUUGAUGUACUUCCUUAGGUAAUUCUUUUUGCUCAAUCUCUUCUUUUUCCAGACUUUUUAUUACUAGAGCUAACCCCAUAUCUUCAUUUCUCAGUUCUUCAGAAAAAUCAGACCUCUUUUGUAAUAGGAAAUUUGUGUUUAUAGCCUUUUUGCAAGUCGACUCAGGAGGAAGUGGUAGUAGGGCAAUCUUCCUACCAUCAGCUUGAAAAACAUAGGUGUUUAAUUUCCCAUGGUGAGUGGCAUUUACAUUAUAUUGCCACGGUCUGCCCAAAAGUAUGUGUGUUGCAUCCAUAUCAACUACAUCACAUACUAAUGUAUCGUUGUACAUCUUGCCAAUGGAUAGUGGGACUUUGCACAAAUAUCUAAUUUUUGCUCCCUCACUAUUUUUGAUCCAUCCUAUUGUAUAAGGCUUAAGGUGUUCUUCAAGGUUGAGUUCUAACUUUUUUGCUGCCUUCUCAGAUAUUAGGUUGUCUGUACUCCCAUUGUCUAUUUUUAUCUGACAAACUUUCCCUUAAACUGUUUCUUUGGUGCGAAAUAAAUUUGUCCGUUGAAUCUGGUAAGGAAUUUUAGGAGUGUGAAAAGAUCUAUGGAUCAAGCAAGAUAGACUUGAUCCUUCAUCGGGGUCAUACUCUUCUGCGGCCUCACUGGACUCAUCUGAAUUAAUGCCGUCUUCAUUCUCUCUCAACCCUUCACAGAAUUUUACAAAUCCCCUCCUAGGGUAGUUAUUAGCUUUGUGGCCCAUUUCAUGGCAUUUAUAGCAUCUUAUUGUGCUCCAAACAUGGUCUGUGACCCUUGAUUUUUUUUUCAUUCAGAUCUGUAUUUUUCCCUUCAGGCGUUGGCAGAAUUCCUUUGUCCUUGGAAUAGAUAGGUUUACUAGUUGAAGCUCCAAGUGAAAAUGAUGAGUACUUGUUUGUCUCUUUAGUUGUUCGGAGAUGCUUACAGUCUUCAUAAGUAAUAUUGGGACUGUAAAAUGACUUUUUCUUGAAGUGUUGAUUUUAAUCCCCCAAUGUAUCUCUCCAUUUGUUGUUCUUCAGAUUCAUUAAGGUUGUUUCUUGCUCCCAACCUAUGGAACUCCUCUGUAUAAUCAUAUACUGAACUCUGUCCAUGUCUGCAUUUCUGAUAUUUUGUAAAUAAAAUCGUUUGAAAUUCCACCGGAAGAAAUCUUUGUUUUCGCAUUUUCUUCAACUUGUCCCAAGUUCUUAUAGGUCUUUUUUGGAAUCUAGCCCUAUUCAUGGUGGUAUGAUCCCACCACACAGCAGUUCCACUUUUAAAUUUUAGUGCCACUAAUUUCACUUUUUUCGAAUCUGGAAUUUCCAUGCAGUCGAAGAAUCUUUCUACUUCUGAAAUCUAAUCUAAAAAUUCUUCUAUAUGUAACUGCCCAUUGAAUUCAGGCAGUUCCAUUCUUAAUCUAUAAUUCCCAAAUUCAUUUCUUUAAUUUCCUCCAUUGUACUCUUCAUACCUUUGUAAUGCUCCCCCUCUUGGAUAGUCUCGACGGCUCCUAUUUCUUCUUCUCUCGUACUGUAAUAAAUCUUUUUCCUCCUCUGAAAAUUCCUCCUCAGUCUGUCUAUUAAAAAGUCCUCCCUGUCUGAAAUUUUCUUCCUGUCUGAAAUUGUCACUCACUGCCUGAAAUUUUCCUCUUGCCGGAUCUGUUCUUCCAAGCGCUCCCUAACUGUGGGUGGGUUUCUUCUUCUGAAAUUUAUUGUCGGUUCUGCAUGUCAAUUCACUGCCGGAUCUUCUCCUCCAUGCGGCUGAAUAGGUUGCAAAUUCUGUUGCAUUGUUUGGAAGUCGUCCCUAACAAAGGUUGUCAUAUCUGUUAGGGCUUUUGCCAACCUCUCAAACUCUUCACGUGUGACGUUCUCGGCCAUCACUUGAUUUUGUUCUCACAAUUCCGUCCAGAACAGAUCGCAAUUCCUGUCUAGAACAAAUCGCAAAUCACUUAUUUUCAACUCGCAAAUCCGUCCAGAAAUAAAGAUUAAAUCCAUCCAAAUCGCAAAUUCAAAUAGUGGUGUUCCGCAAAUUGGCUAUCCUUGAUUAUCCUUGAUUUCUAGAUCGCAAAUCACUGGAGUAAAUCCACAACUCACUGAAAUAAACGGAUUUCUUAAAUAGCAAAUCACUGGAAUAAAUCGCUAGGAUUUUUUUCCCUCACGUGUUCUGGUUCUUCACAACCACUGCAAAUCAUAAAUCGUCCAGAAUCGCAAAUGCUUAACUCGCAAAUCCAGAAUGCACAGUUUGAAAAAAACACAAAUCAAGAACGCACAACCUCAAACCGUCCUAGUCUGAAAAAAACGCAUAGUUUCGUCUGGAAAAAAACGCAAAAUCACAAAAUGUAAUUCCGUCCAGGUGAAAAAAUCGCAACUUGAUAUUCUUGGCCAACUGCAGAUCGCGAAACCCUUCUAGUCUGAUACCACUUGAUGUAGGCCUUGAACGUUUCUUGAAAACGGAUUUAACAGAUUGAAGUAAUCUAUCCAGAAUGAUAUAAAGAAAGCAAUGAAACAAUAAUUCUCGAUUAGGGUUUAAACUCCCUUGAGAAUCGAUUGAAGAUUGAACGAUUAUCCCAAUCCAAGGAUAAUCGAUAAUUGUGAAUUGGAAAGAAUUGUAGAAUCUACGGAAAUAAAGGAAGAAAGAAAGAAAGAAGAAUUAACGUUGAGAAAUACCUAGAAUAAAAUAAAACUCAACUAGCCCCACCUUUAGGGUCCACUCAUAUUUAUACUCUCAUGGUUUAAGAGUUGAAAGUCUACCAUGAGAGUUCAAGCAAUUUUAUUGGGCUUGGUCCAAGGCUCGAUUAGAAUCGAGCCUAUUAUUAAUGCAAGCACUUAUAAGGGCUGCAUCAUAACCUUAGUUUGUAUUUGUUCUACCCCUGGUAUAUGUCUUACCUAGAUCUCACCUGCACAUACUCAUAAAAGCUUUAGACAAGGUAAAAAUUUAAAUUACUUUAUGAGUGCAAUAUUUACGAAAUAUAGGUGGAGUAAGACAAGGUAAAGUUAAGAUAUACCAAAAUGUUAAAAUUAGGAUUUUGAAAUUUCUUGACAACAAAUAUGCCAUUAACAAAUGGGGAGAAUGUAGAAACAAGAUUCUUAAUGACAUAUUUAGUUGUUAAUUAAUCUUAAUUAUAAUAAACCCUAAUUAACAAGAUAAAGAAAUAUAUGAGUUAAAAUUGCAUAGAUAAAUUUAUUGAACUCAUAUAAAUAAAAUUGACUUGAUACAUGAUUAAAUCAAAAUGAUAUUAGCCUUAAUUAUUUUCAUCAAAUAAAUCUCUAUAUUGAUCAAGUUAAUUAUUGAAGCUUGUAUUUAUUUAUGCACACCUACUUGUUUAAAUUAACUCUUGUUUUCAAGUUGCUUAAUAUCUUAAAGGUUAAUCAACAUGGUGUGAGAAGCACAACUAUCUAUGCAAGCUUCAAAGAAACUCAAGAUGUAGAAAACUUGCAGAAAAACAAUCAUGACAAAGAUUUCAAGAUCAAAUCCGACAAAUUAACUACAAGGAUCUUGAAUUCAAUGCUACACAAAAUCCUAGAUGAAGAAUUCAAAAAUGGAGAGGAGAAAAAUGUGUGGAAGGUUCAAUCUCCCAAGAUCAAAUCCAACCAAGAUUUUGGAUUAAAUGCUACACAAAAUCCUAGAAUGUGAAUUCAAAAUGAAAAAGAGCUCUCCACCAAUGAAGUCACCAAUGAAGUGUUUUUGAAUCUCUUCUUCAUAGGUGUUCAAGAGUUAAAGAAAUUUACCUUCAUGCCACCAACGUCUAUAUAUAAGGAGGGGCACACCCAAGAGCAAAGUCAUCACUUACCAUCUUUGUUAAAGCUCUCUUUGGAAUCAAAGCUCUACUUUCUAACUCUCUUGCUCAAGCUCUAGCUCUCAGUUAAGCUUUGUGUGGAAGUUGCUCUCAAGGUUGUGUGCUUUAUUUCUUCAACUUCUUCUUCUUUUCCUCUCGUGUAUGUCAAGAGUGUGUUAGAAGAAAAAGCUCAUCAUCUUGUAAGUGUUCUAAUUGUUGUGAGAGGUGUAUCUCAACAUCAACACUUGUAAGGUUCAACGAAUUCAACCUUAAAACUCGGUGUGGUUCUAUAGAGUUUCCGGAAAACUCUUAGGUUGAAUCUGCCUUAAAGGUUCAAAGGUUUUUAAGAGUUCCUUGAUACUCUUAGGUGGUUCGUAAGCGUUUAUCCUUAAAGUUGCAGAGGUUUUUAAGAAUUCUUUGAUACUCUUAGGUGAUUCACAAACGUUUAGCCUUAAAAUUUGUAAAGGUUUUGUCAUUACCUUUAGGCUAGUGAUCUCCGUGUUUUAUCGAAACUGGAUUAGCCCUUGUUUGGGUGUCCCUUUUUAUUUUCCGCUUUCAUAUUUUUAAAGUUAUAUCAAGAUAAAAAGGAACUAAAAAGAGAUCCCUCAUCCAGUUAUCUGAUCAUAGAUUGAGGUUGACUAUUUUCUUACAGAUCCCUCAUCCAGUUAUCUGGUCAUUGACUGAGGUUAUUUUCAGUUAAAAUAUAUAUCCUUAUAUAUUUUAACUUAUAUUAUUAUUUUCGUGCUUAUAAAAAAACUUAGUAUUCAUAUACUACAGUUGGCUUAAAAAACACUCACUGUCAAGUUAAAAUAUAUAUCCAGUUAACUGGUCACUUAUAAUAUAUUUUAAAUGUGUGCUUAUAAUAUAACUUAGUAUUUAUAUACUACAGUUGUUUAUAAAGCAUGAUCUGAUAAGUGGACUCAGUAUCUAUGUACUGCAGUAAACUUAGAAAGAACAGACAAUCUUUUUAUAUAUCCUUGUCUCUAACUUGUAUUCUCAAGUAUUCCGCAAAUCUACUAAGAAAUUACGAAAAGAGGUUAUAACCCCCCUUAAUCUCAGAUCAAGAUCCUACAAGUGGUAUCAGAGCCAAGUAGGUUAUUAGCAGCUUCACAUCUGUUUCUAACAUGGCACAGGAAGAACAAGAAUACCAAGAUUUUGCAUCAAACAAACCUCCUAUCUUCGAUGGAACCAGGUAUGAAUUAUGGAAGAAAAAAAUAAGGAUUCAUUUGAUGUCGCUGGAUAGUGAGAUAUGGAAAGUCACUCAUGAAGAAUAUGAGGCUCCAACUACGAAAGAAGAUGAAUGGACUGCUCUUGACAAACAAAGGUAUAGAUUCAUUACAAGGGCAAUGAAUGCACUGUAUGGAGCGUUGGAUGAAUCUGAGUACAGUUCCAUCCAGGUGUUCGACACAGCUCAUGACAUCUGGAAGCAGUUGGAAACCAUUCAUGAAGGUACAUCUCACGUAAAGGAAAACAAGCUUCUACAUGCUCACAGGGAAUACGAGAACUUCACCAUGAAGGAAGGAGAAACCACCGCUGAAAUGAACAGAAGGCUCAUCAACAUCGUCAAUGAUCUAGCUGGUCUAGGCGAACCUGUCAGCGAAAAGAAUCAAGUUGGAAAAAUUCUAAGAAUCCUUCCUGAUAAGUAUGAUUCAAAAAGAGAUGUCAUCCAAGGAGUUCACAACUUGAACAAGCUUCGUGUAGUGGAGCUGAUCGGAAAUCUGAUGGCAUAUGAACAGAUGAAGUUUACACCUAAAGAGAAGCAAAAAGAAGAGUCUAGCCCUUCAAGCAGCAUCAUAAGUCGACAGUCAAUCUGAUAAAGAUGAACUUGCACUUAUCACUGCAAAACUAUUUAAGCUGAUCAAAAAAAGAAAAGAAUCUAAAGCAAGCAGCUCGUAUCACAGAUCACACAAGUCAGACCCACCACAACAGAAAGAAGCAGAUAAGCAACAAGAGGAAAUCUGUUACAAAUGUAACAAGACUGGACAUAUAAGACCCAAUAGUCCAAACUAUAAAGAUACUGCUCAUCAAGUAAGCUGGUCUGACACUGAUGAAGACUUUGAAGCUGAUGAAUGUCUAAUGGCCAACGACUCAGACACCCAGGUCAGUUUUUACGAUUAUCAAAAAUUAGAAACAUCAUAUCUAGAGCUAGCUAGUAUCUAGAUAUAAAUAUGAAAAGAAUUUAGUUAAAUCAUUAAAAGAAAAAUACAUGCAAAAUAUUAGCUCUUCUGAUAAUCAUGAAUUAGAAAAACUUAAGACUGAAAAUGCUGCUCUAACAAAAAGAUUAAAAUCCAGAGAUAAAGUUGUAGAACAACUUAAGGAGCAAAAUUUAAUUCUUUUAUAUCAUAUUGAGUCCAUGGAAGAACCUUCUACUAUGUAUCUAGAAGAAGUGGAAAAACUAAAAAAUAAACUAGAUAAAAAGGAGAGUGUGAUUAAAACACUUAAGGAACAUAACCUUAUCCUUAUAGAUCUUGCAGAACAAGUAAAAGAACCCUCUUCUGUACAUCUAGAAAAUGUAGAUCAAAUAGAAAGCUUAAAAGAAAUAAAUCUAUAUCUAGAGACAAACCUAAAAUCAUUAACAAGAAAACUAGCUAUGCAUGAAGAAAUGAUUCUAAGAUGUGAAAAUAAGGAGAAAUGUCUAAUACAUGAAAAGGAAGAUCUUUUAGUAGACAUUAAUUCACAAACAUUUUACAUAAAAAAUUUAGAAAGGAAAAUAUGUGAAUAUAAACGAGACAUUUCAAAAUUUACAUAUAGUUCAAAAAUGCUUGAUGAUAUGAUCGAAAAAUCCAACACUAGACUAGGCAAGCCUAGUUUAGGAUUCGGUCAUGAGUCUCCUUCCCCAAGUACAUCUGUGAUGUACAAUAAAUAUUUUGUACGAGAAUCCACACAUAAGAUUUUCAAAUUAAACAUAAAAGGAUUCCUCAUAAUAAAAUAAGUGCCAAAAAAUUAUGGGUGUUUAAGAAAAAACUGCAACACUAUAAAGUUAUAUCUGUUAAUCAUUUAGGACCCAAAAACGUUUGGGUACCAAAAAGUAUGUUUUCUUCCACAGGUCAAUCAAAAGUCCAAAUGACUAUUGAACAGUGGAUGCACCCGACACAUGACAGGCAAUAGAAGAUUAUUAAGAGACAUAGCUUCAGUUCCCGAGGGGGAAACUGUUAUCUUUGCAGAUAACAUGACAGGUACCAUAAUAGGCAAAGGUAUAGUAGAUAGUGUAAAUAAUCCUUUUCUUAAAAAUGUAUAUUUAGUAGAAGGUCUAAAACACAACCUAAUUAGCAUAAGUCAAUUAUGUGACAUAGGUUGUGUGGUCAAAUUCGAAAAACAUUUGUGCACUAUUACAAACUCCGAAAAUAAGAUUAUUGCAGAAGGAAACAGAGAAUAUAAUGUGUAUUCUAUUACUUUUGACCAAACUGCCUCAUCUCAUGAACACUGCAUGAUAGCAGCCAGUAAUGAGAAAAUCCUAUGGCACAAAAGAUUGGGCCAUACUAGUUACUCCAAACUGACUAAGUUAUCAAAAGGAGAUCUAGUCAGAGGAUUAUCUAAAAUUGCAUAUAACCAAGAUAGCUUUUGCAACUCAUGUUAGAAAAGAAAGCAACAUAAAGCAUCCUUUAAAGCUAUUUUGGAAGUAACUACAUCUCGACCCUUGAACUCCUACACAUGGAUCUUUUUGGACCAACCCAAACUCAAAGUGUAGGAGGGAAGAGAUAUGCAUAUGUAAUUAUAGAUGAUUACACAAGAUAUACUUGGGUAUUCUUCUUGAGAAAUAAGAAUGAAGCUUUCAGCGAAUUCUCAUCAUUCUAUACAAGGGUUCAAAAUGAAAAAGAUCUCUCCAUUAUAAAAAUCCGAAGUGAUCAUGGUGGAGAAUUUGAAAACACUGAAUUUGAAGACUUCUGUAAAACCCAUGGUUUUAAACAAGAGUUUUCCUUUCCUCAAGCUCCUCCCCAAAAUGGAGUCGUUGAGAGAAAGAACCGAACUCUACAAGAGAUGGUAAGAACCAUGUUAAACGAACAUGAUAUAUCUCACAUUUUUUUGGUUGAGGCAGUAAAUACUGCAUGCUAUAUUUUGAAUAGAAUCAUAAUUAGACAGAUCCUAAAUAAGACUCCAUAUGAGCUUUGGAAGAACAGGAAACCCAAAAUUGCAUUCUUCAAAAUAUUCGGUAGUAAAUGCUUUAUCCUAAGGACUCGAGGAACACAUGAUAAAUUCGCUCCAAAGUCCGAUGAAGGAAUGUUUCUGAGAUACUCAGAACGAAACAAAACAUACAGGAUAUUCAUCAAAGAAUCUCAAACUGUAAUCGAAUCACUUCAUGUGAAUUUUGAUGAAUAUCCAAAGGAUAAUCUAAUAUCCUCCUCAGACAUAGAAAUUCAAGAAGAGUCAACUAUAUUGACCGAUCAAACUCCAUCAUCUGAAGACCUACAAACAGGUUACCCAAGUAAGACCUUAAGAAAUCCACAUUCUGAAGAAUAAAUUAUAGGAGAUAGAAAUGUUGGAGUUCGAAAAAGAUCAACCACUCAAAGAAACAUGGACUUUGGCUAUUUUGUGUCUCAGAUAGAACCCAAGAAAGUGGAUGAAGCCUUAACAGAUAACUAUUGGGUCAUCGUCAUGCAAAAAAAACUGAAUCAGUUUACCCACAGCGAUGUAUGGGAUUUAGUUCCUAAAUCCAAAGAUUGUUCAAUUAUAGGGACAAGAUGGGUCUUUAGAAAUAAGGUUGAUGAAAAUGGAAUCAUCGUUAGGAACAAAGCCAGAUUAGUGUCUCAAGGUUAUAAUCAGCAAGAAAGAAUUGAUUAUGACGAAACCUUUGCCCUAGUAGCGAGACUAGAAUCAAUAAGAAUACUUCUUUCAUAUGUAUGCUAUAAAAACUUCACCCUUUCUGAAUGGUGAAGUUAAAGAAGAAGUCUAUGUAAAGCAACCUCCCGGCUUUGAAGACUCUGAAUUUCCUGAUUAUGUGUAUAAACUCAAAAAAGCCCUAUACGGAUUAAAACAAGCUCCUAGAGCGUGGUAUGAGAGGUUAAAGAACUUUCUACUCUCUCAAGAUUUUAAGAUGGGUAGUAUUGACUAAUAUUCAUAAAGAGUAUUGACACAGAUAUUUUAUUAGUCCAAAUUUAUGUUGAUGAUAUAAUUUUCGGAUCCACCAAUAAAAAUUUGUGCAAAGAUUUAUCGAUUCUAAUGGAAAAAGAAUUCGAGAUGAGCAUGAUAGGAGAGUUAAGCUAUUUUUUGGGUCUCCAAGUCAAACAAAUAAAAAAUGGUAUUUUUGUUAGUCAAACAAAAUACUUAAAAGACUUAGUCAAAAAAAUUGGUUUAGAUAGCUCCAAAGCAUCUAACACUCCUGUGAGUUCUACACUCAGACUAGGAAUAAUAGACCUAGAGGGCUAAGAGGUAGACAACAAAAAGUACCGAGGAAUGAUUGGAUCUUUACUGUAUCUCACAGCAAGUAGACCUGACAUCAUGUUUGUAGUUUGCUUAUGUGCAAGAUAUCAGUCAAACCCUAAAGAAUCACACCUCAAAGCUGUGAAAAGAAUAAUCAGAUAUAUUAAAGGAACAAUUAAUCUAGGAUUAUUCUAUCCAAAAGGAAGUGACUUUUCCUUAACAGCUUACUGUUAUGCUGACUUUAGAAAAAGCACCAGUGGUACUUGUUUCCUAUUGGGAAACGCAUUAGUGUCAUGGUCAUGCAAAAAGCAGAAUAGCAUUGCUCUGUCCACCACAGAAGCAGAAUAUAUGGCUGCCUCAAGUGCAUGUGCUCAAAUCCUCUAGAUGAAGUAAACCCUAAAUUAAAAGAUUAUGACACUACUUUAGGAACUAUCCCUUUAAAAUGUGAUAACAAAAGUGCAAUAUGUCUAUCGAAAAAUACAGUGUUGCAUGCUAGGUCAAAACAUAUAGAUGUUCGACAUCAUUUUCUAAGGGAUCAUGUAGAAAAGAAGAAUAUUAUACUUGAAUAUAUAUCAACUGAUGAACAUUAGCUGACAUUUUCACAAAACCCCUGGAUUUGGAGCACUUUUCGAAAAUCAAAAAUAUUCUGGGGAUUUGUGACACAGUCAAAAAUAUUCUGUUCACCAAAGGUAUGAUUUAUAUUUUAUUCUUUAGUUAAUAUUAUAAGUCAACAUAUUAUUUCAUAGCUCUUAAGAUUGGAUUAAGUCAAAACUACAAUUUUGAUUAAUCACUUUAUAGCUAGUUAAAAUUAAUUAACUAAUAUUUAUUUCUAGCAUAAUAGAUGAGUGAAGAUAACUUAGAAGUUGGUAGGUGAGUUUAAUAAUAACUCAUUCCAAUAUGUUUAGUCCAUCUAAAACAAUUGUAUUUAAAACCCAAAUUAAUGGAUGGAUUAUAUGUGAAUAUCAAGGAGAAACCGAUUACUUAAUUCUUCACAACCACUUGACAAAAUUACACAUUAAUACUUGCAUUGUUUCAUUCAAAAAUUGUGAAGAUUUAAUACCCAACAUAAUGAUCUCCCAUUUAGUACUUAAAUCUCCUUGAGUAAAUAAAUUUUUAAUACUCGAAAUCACAUCCAUGGGAUUAAAGGAUUGUAUAGUUUAAAUGCCCAACAACCAUUGGUAAUGAUGGUUUUCAUUUAUGCAAUAUCAACUCCAUUUAUGGUAAUUAAACCCUUGCCAAUAGUUAUGGCUAACCCUCACCAAGAGAUUCAACCCAAGUGAAACAGAUAAGAUAUAUCUUAAAGAUCUCACUGGGAUAGCUUCAAUCCUGAUCAAACUCAUCGACAACUGCUUGUGUCCAAUGUCUACCAUUACUGCUGAGCCAUCCAUGAUAGCUCGAUCAAGUUGCUUCCUUCUGCAUCCUCGAUUGAAUCAAGGUUGAUUGGGUAGGUCUGGUUAUGUACAACAUGGCCACGGUUACUAUGAUACCAAAUGGAACCAGACACUAUCCUCGCUUGAUCUCCAAAGUCUUUGAUAAGUAUCAUCUUAAUCUUUCUUUGUCUAGGAGAUCCAAGAUCUGUCCUUUUCAACAUUUCACAGCCGCGUCAUUCAAGCAUAAGCUGCUCAAUCAAUUCUAUGACUCGGAUAAAGAAGAUAUGGAUGCCAUUAGAGUUGAGAUAACAGAUAUGAAACAUAUACUAGAUGCUCCUAUCGACAUGACUCUCCUCAACACAGAUACACUCAUGACUCUUAAAGGAUUGCAUGCAAAUAGAGAUGAUUUUGAUCUAGAAGUUGUUAGACAACUCAAUCUGGUGAACCAAAACGUCAAAGAGUUGGAAGAUCAAGUGAAGUUGAAUGAAGCUCGAAUGAAGGUUGCACAUGCCAAGUAAAGAACAUCAGAGUUAAUCAGGAAAUGAUCUUAGAAAGAUUUGGAUCACUUCCGGCCUGGUAGUGAUCAAGCUUAACUGUUGUGUUUUACUUAUUUUUAUCUGCCUAAAACAAUAUUUACUAUGUUUGUAUGCUUGUUUGUUUUUAGGAGAUCUUCACUAAUUUUGAUUGAAAAAUCUCUUUUGUUAAGAGAUAAUCAAGUGAAGAUCAUAAAUAGUUAUGCUUAAUCUUUGCUCGUUUAAGCUACUUGAUGUGUUUUAUUUCAGUAUGUUUUAUUCAAGUUAUCUUAUUUAUGCUUAAGCUAUAUUUGAUAUGUUCUCCUUAUAUAUUGCUUAAGUUAUAAUAUUUAUCUUGUUUUAUACUUUAGCUACAUUUGAUAUAUCUUCUUUAUAAUUGCUUAAGUUAUAAUGGUAGAAUUUAUUUUAAAUGCAUGCUCUAUAUGCCUAUGUGAUUUUUACAUGCAACUAUCAUAAUCAAUACUUUACAUCAUUACAUGCUUGUAUAUGAUAACAUGCACUCACGUUUAAUACAUGCAUGUUAAUGUAUUCUCAGGUAUUUCGCAAAUCUACUGAGAAAUCACGAAAAGAGGCUAUAACCCCCCUAGCCUCAUAUCAAGAUCCUACACAAAUCUGGUCAGUUAGGCGGUUAUGCGGUUACGGCCCAAAUGACCAGAUUACCUCCAUAAAAAUUCCUAUAAAUAGGAGGCACCUCUAACUCAUUUGGGCAGGUCAUUAGAAGUGGAGAAGUCCCAGCGAAGCAGAGCUCUGAGCAACUGAGUCCCGGCCUGAUUUUAUCGCGGAGUUCCCUGCCUGACGCUUGUUCGAAGUGUCAGGAAAUAAUGCAAAUGAAGGCAAGCGGCAGGAACGGCGGGGAUGUGAGGCCACCUCGAGCGCUGAGCCUAACAGCCACAGAAGUCGGAUGUCUGGACACGUUGCGAAGCCAAGCACGUUGGGAUUUGGGGCGAAGGGGUUCGGAGAUUGUCCAAAUCCGGGCACAUGCCGAACGAAGGGGCCGACGGUCACGUCAAGCGUAACCGAGUAGCGAGCGGACGAAUCCAGAGCGAGGUCGAGCAAACUCGAUUGCCGGGUGGAGAGUACCAACACGGGGGAAGUAUCGCCCGAACGACGGACGAAACCCGCAGGGAACGUCGGAGAACCAAGAGAUGAACGAAGUUCGAGUAGGGUCUGAGCCACGUCAAUAACGGACGUCGAAGGGUAAAAAAUUGCACGAACACGCACACGAAAGAAAGAGUCGUUAAAAUUUCCAAUAUAUCCAAAACACAAGUUACAAUCCCAAGCAACGGGAAAAAAAUACAACGAAAGUUACAAGCCCGAACUACAAUUUACAAAAAUACUUCCGCUAAGCGAAUUGAAAGACAAAAGGAAGAAAGUGUCAGUGUCGAAGGGAGGUGAAAGCAGCAGAAGAAAGAAGAGAGGAAAGAAAAGGCAUUCUGGGUGGCCCGGGGGAACACAACACCACAUCAACAGAUGAUGAGGAAGAAACGAACCAUGAACCACGCUCCUACAAAGGUUGGAAACGGGAGAGGGGUCGCCCAAAGAUGACCCCACCGGCCGAAGAAUCCAGGGAACGAGCAAAGGCCACCAAGAGGCGGACCGCUAGGAAGUGCCGCAAGUCAUUAGCCGGGAGGGACAAGGAUCCACGAGAACUGAUGAAGCACAAGAUUUGCUACCAGGGGCUCACGGUGGUGCGAGGUGAUGCCGAAGGAUCUGGAGUCCACGACGCGCGCGCUCUACGUCAAAUCCUGUAGGAGGAGAAUAGGCGAUUCUGGUAUGGGAAUCGGCGAUUCUUUCCGUGUAUGCUCUAGUUAUGUGGAACUUGUGAUCUCCCUUGGAGUGACCCCUUGGGACCCCUUUUAUAGGGUCUUUGGGGGCGCACUUCGUGGCGGGCAUCGCACUCGGGUCAUAAUGGCGCCCAUUAAUGGCCAUUAUAACGCGGGUUGGCGACGAGUAACGGUCGUAAAUCAGCGAUUCAGGUAGGGAAUCGACGAAUUAGGGGCAAAGUCGGCGAGCUCUAAGGGACGAGAUCUGUAGCCUACCAAUGCUAAUUAUCUCGACCUCAACUCGGCGAUUUACCACUAAUAUCGGUGAUUUGGUAGCCCAAUCGACGACCUUACUGGUUAAACUCGGCGAUUUGACGAUGACAUUUGUUCCGCAAUCGUGAGAGACUUCCGGGGGUCUGGCAUAAAGCGAACGGAACCCUACUCCUUAUUGAGGGGUGUUAUUGUUGGAAGUGAUUGACGCAAUCAGGCAUGUAUCAGCAAGAACCACGGUGGCCGCACGAUCGACGACGAUGAUCGUAAUUUUCGGCCGAAGCAACAACAAGCAUGGCGUGCAGAGAGCAGCAGAAGCUCGAGGUCACAGCGGCGGUAGCAGCAACACCAGAAGCUUCAACAGGGCCAAGAGUGUCGGAUCGACGGAGCUGAGCGAGACGGCGAUGAACAUCUAUCAGGACGGAGUUGAGUCGUUGGCUCUCCGACACGGCGACACUAUGGAAGUCACCAACUGGAAGCAACAGGCACUCCGCCCACGCGGCAUUCUGGAGUUUCGCCUCGCGGCCAAACUCCUCCAAAAGGUCUUGAACGCUCAUCGGAAAGGAAGGGUGGAUUGAAGAAAGCAGGCCACAGAGAUCCUAUUUGUAGAAGAAAAAAACGAGAAGGGGUAAGGAGCGCAAACAUCGAAGCGUCAUAAAGACGUUUAUUUGAGAAAGCAGGAGCAAUCAGACCGGGCGGUGCCCUACGGCCGCCAGCUCCCGGGCCCAGGGAGAAGUACUGUUGGUACCACGGACCGUCCCAACGGACCGUGGACCGAACCGUUCGGUCUCGGGCCCAACCGCGCGAAGGGACUGGACCCGGGAAAGCCCAAGAGGCUUGUAGGCCCCCUGGGCUAACACUAUAAGUACCUCCCCUGGUCCAACAGGGGAGGGGGUUGACAAUUGAGAGAAGGGAUUUUAAGAGUUGUGUGUGUGAGGAUCCCAUUGUGAGCCCACACACUAUCAGAAUUAUUGCCAUAACUUUCAAACUAGUAUUAUUCGUGUUUAAUCGAAAUUGGAUUAGCCCUUCUUUGGGUGAACCAGUAUAAAAUUUCGUGUGUCCUAUCUUUUAUUUUUAGUUUAUUUAAAAUCGAUUAUUAAUAAACAAAGAUUAAAAAGAAAUCUCUUAUCCAGUUAUUUGGUCUUAAGAUUGAGAUUGAGUACUUUUUAUUGAACCAUCAUUUGAUUACCUGAUCAAUUGAUUGAGGUUAAUUUUAUUGUUUAUCCCUCAUUUAGUUAUCUAUUUAUUUGAGGUUAUAAUUUCUGCACAUUUUUUAUCCAAUAAUUAUAUGAUCAAUUGACUGAGGUUAAGUUUAUAAACUUAUACUGAUAAUUAAGUUGACUUAUUAUUUAUAUAUUACAGUCUACAGUUAACUUUGAAAGUACAAAGACUUUAACCUAAAUAAUUAUUUAGAGUUUAAAGUAAAGCAAAUUAUAUCAUUUACUCUAACUUGUAAAUCUCAUAUAUUUUUGCUCUAAUUUUAGAUUUCGCGAAAAGAGACCAUGUUCCUUUGGUCUCGGAUUACGAUUAAACAAGUGGUAUUAGAGACAUGUUGCUAUCAGUUUUACAUCUGUUAUCAAUAUGACACAAGAGUAUCAAGGAUUUUCAUACAUAUAAGAUAAUGAACAUUUUCAUACGUAAGACAAGUAGGAACAACGUUAUUGUUGAUGUCAUUACAGAUCAUGGCGACUUCCUUCAUGUGAUCGGAAACCUUUAUCGACGUUGUUGAACUCCCAUCGCCAUGAUUAAUCUUCUUUGCUCUUAUCGCAAACUUUUCAAAAAUGUCCAUUAUCUUUUAUCUGACUAGAUGUUGUCUCAUAGAUAAGACUCUAUAUCUAAUAUCUAUCGAUAAAAGAAACAAUUAAUUGAAAUAAACUAAUCAAAUAAAGUCUUAAAGAUGAAGUAAACAUCAAAACUCAGAACACUCUAAUCAAAACUUAGAACACUCAAGAUGAAGGAAACACUCUAAUCAAAUUAAUAUAAAUCGAAAAAAUCGUGUUAAAAAAGACACCAUUGAAUCGACUUUCUGUUUGCCGGUCCUCCCAAAGCAAUUUGUCAAACCAUUCUUUUCUACAAUACAUGAAUUGCAAAUUUGGUGCACUAUUUUUACCCAUAAACAAUCGAUUUAAUUUCUCACAAUCCCACACAUAAAGAUACUCCAAUGAAUGCCAUUCCAUUUCCGAUUUUUCAUCACACUCAUGUUUCCAAACAUUCUCCAAAUUCGGUAAAUCGCGCAACCUUAAAUGCCUUAGCUUGGGAAACAAUGUCCUUGCUUUGGAACCACUAACACCUUGGUCAUCUUUUUCAAUGAUAUUUUCUAACUCAGAACAAGAAGAAAUAUUCAACUCUUCUAAACAUACAACACAUUCUGCCACAUUCCAUGGAAAAAUAAACUUCAAUCGAUCGCAACUAUAAAUAUAAAUUCUUUCAAGUCUUUCAAACGAUUUGGCGGGUAUUAUGGUUUGAGUUCCAGUAUUUACAAAGAUAUUUUCAAGUUCAACCAUAAUGCUCAGAUGUAGAUGUUCUAGUUUUGGUAGAAUUGGAUCAACUUGUGUGUUAUAUUGGAUGAAAUUCUUCUGUUUACUGCAAUAUCCCACUUCCAGACUUUUCAAAUUGCACAAUAAUUUCACGAUAUCUUGUUCUAUCGCUGAAGAAAUUGCUUGUGUAGCGGAAUUGUUAUCUAUCUCGAAAUCAUACAUAUACAAUUUUUUUGUUUUCUCAAACAAAACUUGUAACCAUUUCGCAACAUUGCUUAACUGAACACAAGGAAGGGUUAAAAUAUUUGAACUCCAAACUAUUUGUGCAUCAAAGACCCUAAGAUAUCUGAUGGAAAAGUAUUCAACUGGUGGGAUAACGAGACUUGGUGCAUAUUCAUGAGAAAAGAUAGUUUUAUCAUCUAUAUCAAUAUGAAGUGAGUACAAAUUCUUCAAAUCUUUCAGCUCCUCAAAUGUCACAUAGUCACCAUCUUCUUGAUUGAAAGCUUUCCAUUUGUUGUAGCUCCCUUGCAUGUUUAAUUCUUCUAAUGUAUUUCUUAGAGUCCAAAAAAAUUUCGGUCUUAUGAUAUCUAUCACGGUGUUUGAAAAAUCAAUCGAUCUAAGAUGAAUAAGCUUUUUACUGAACUCCUGAUUUAACUCUGAGAUGUGUACAUUCUGCAAGCAAAGAACUGAAAGAUGUUGCAAGAAGAAAAAGUCUGUUAUAUCGACUGUAAUAUUUUGAUGAAGGGUUUUAAACAUUAGAACACGAAGCUUCGCUAGUUUCUGAAGGCAUGUUUCAAUGAAUUCUUUUAUAGAUAUCGAUGUUCCUCUCAAGUCCAAGAACAAUAAAUUUGCCAUCCCUUCAAAGAAAUCAGGAUGAAUGCUUUCCAAUAUGUUGUUACCAUUGAAUGAUAAAAACUGUACUUCAUUUAUGUUCUGCAGUCGAUCUGUUGAAUUUAAAUUUUGAAUAGAAGAACUCCAUUUGAUGAACUUUUCAAUCUUGAAGAAACCUUCAAAUUCAUUCUGCGCAAUAGAAAUAGCUACAUCCCGAAUAACAUCAUGCAUCCUCGCUGAAUUUUCCUUUUCAUCAUCUAUUUCUUCUACAACAUCUUGUAAUAACCCUUUCCUCUUCAAAUUUAUAAAUAUAUCACGAUAAGUAUUCAAUGAUCUUUGUCCUCUAUCUUGCCUUACACGCUUAUCUGCUCCAAUGUCAUAGCAAAUAAAAUCUCUCAAUUGAAUUUCUUGACCUUGAGCAAAUACGCUACAUAGUAGGAAACCCAUCUUCAAAUCAUCUUCUUCUAGGCGUUCAUAACUAAACUUCAGCAGACGGUACAUAUUUUUCACUACAUAAAUAGGCACCCUUUGAGGACAAUCUUCAUUUAGAAAAUUUAAACAACCAUUCCAUUUACUCUCUAGUAUUUCUCCACGAAGUGUUUUUGCAACAACUGAUAUCGCCAAAGGUAGCCCUGCACACUUUCUACAUAUUUCUUGCGCUAUAUGUUUUAUUCUAAGAUGAUUAGGGUUAUUAUCAAUAUCAGAAUAAUUUCUGAAGAACACCCAAGAUUCAGUUUCAUCAAGUCUUGCAUACAUCUUGAUUUGUUCGGCCCCCAAUCUCCGACAAAUAUCUUGGUCUCUGGUUGUCAGAACAAUCUGACAACGUAGAUUUUCAUCAUUAAUGUCGAUACCGAUUUUUUUAAAGUCUAGAUCCUCCCAUACAUCAUCGAAUAUGAUCAAACUUUUAAAUUUUUUCAAAUGAUCUGAAAUUAUUCUUGCUCUGACACGAAUCUCAUCAUUAGUAUUGAAUUCUUCAAACUGUUCACUGGAGCAUAAUCUACGAGCAAUAUUUUUUUGGAUGUCCUUGAUAUCGAUAGUAUUGUGUGAUACUGUCACCCAAAUAACAAAAAUGUUACCAUAUUUUCCCAUUUCAUUGUUAAUCUUCCGCAUCAAUGAGGUCUUCCCAACUCCUCCCAUUCCCCACAACCCAAUCACAUUUUUAUUCUCUAAUGCUGCAUAUACUGAAUUUUUAUUAACUUCAAUAGAAUCAACUGAUAGGUAAUCGAUGAGUUGAUGCUCCACACCUGGGAAAUAACCGGCCCAACAACGCAAUCUUAUGAGCAAAUCCCUUAGCUGAGGAGAUACAGAUUCCAAGCAUUGUGGUACACCCCAAUUUACCACUGCUAAUACUGCCUGUUUUACUAUAGGUAAUAUGCAAGAUGACUCCAUCUAGAGUCUCCCCCACAGCAACAAAUACACUUUCAAUUUUGUUAUCACCAAGUCAAGUUAAAAAUAAAGAUUUGAUUUUUAAUAGAAAUAUUCAUUUGUGUAACAGUGUAAGAUAGUACGUAUUCAAGUUCAAAAAAUCACAAUGUUCUUUUUAUCAUAACAUAAACUUCCAUAUUUAUGUACAAAUACCUAAAUUUAGUUAUAUUUCAAUUCAUUAAAAUUUUCCGAAUUCGGAUGCAUACAAACCAAAAUAACGUUUAAUUUGUAGAAAUAACUAAAUAUACAUUUUUCAUAUUACAAAACUUAAAUUCUUAAUAUUUAAUCAUUUUGAAAAAAUAUAAUUUGUGAUGAGGGUGACCAAGAGUUGAUCGACCGACCAGAAUUUUAGUCGGUUGAUUCGAGUAACAAGUAUUUUGGUCGAUGGUCCCAAAGUGACUGACCCUUAAUUUGAUAUGCCUCCCUUCCAACUAAACAUGGGAGGGAAGCUCGAUCUGGGCCCAGUUUAGAACCCAAGGCAUGUUUGCGAUAUCUGAUAUCUUCCUCUAACUUUCGAGACCUCGCGUUAUUAACAAAUGCAUAAGAGUCUAUUCUUCAUACCGUACUCCAUAAUACAAGAACUGAUAUCAGCAAUAUUUCCCCCUUCAAUCGAGACAUGUAUUUUGGUAUCUAAGUGGUUGCAAUGGCCUACGAACCAUCAUUUCUUCCUCCUGAAUUAGCCAAGAUAGGCGAGAAUGAAUUGACAAUGACUAUCAAUUUUUCCUCCUCUACCUUUGCGGGGUAGAAUACUUCUCUCAUGAUUCAUUUAUAGUCGACGGGCUAAAGCGUCACACCGAUUACUGGGUAUUUUUCGUAAUAAUCGAUAGAUUGAAGCUUCAAAUUGAUUACUUAAACUGCGUAGAUUUCGUUAAAUUUCUUUAUAUUCAGUAAGACAAAGUGUCGUACCGACUAUCCUCUUGGAGUUUUCAAAAUUUUGGCAAGUGUCCUUCUCACCACCAGUGAGGACGGAGAAUUAAAGGAGGGUGAAUUUGCCCCUUUGCACAACCAGUUGACCGAGAACUUAUCCCUUUGGGAUAAUUAGGGUGACAAUUAAUAAAAACUCCCCUCUGCGGUCUCGAGCCUAAAGCUCAAAUUUGAUAAGCUUAUCAAGUCAUACUUAAUUUAGAUAUUAAUUGAUAAAGACUAUUAAAUAAACUUAAAUAAAAAUUUAAAUCUAAAAAAAACCUUCAAGUUCGAGCCCGAGCCCGAGCUCGGCCGAAUCAUGCUCGGGUUCGAGACAAUUUUUUAACGAGUCGAGCGUAGCUUUAUAAUCAAAAGCUCGUAUUGACACCGUAAGGAUAAUGAAAUAAAUAAACAAGAAACUGAAGAAAGUAGUAAAAAAAUAUAUAACGAGACCUAAUUAUGGAUAUUUGAACUCACCUUUUAUAUUCUGAAAUCUGAAUUAUUGUCACAAGAUCUGAGUCGUAAAUGCUUGCUUUGAGGAAAACUUAAUUCUAGAUUAUUUUAUUUUGACGAAAAAACUUGAGAUUUUUUAAAUUUGAUUCAGCAUGUACCAAACCUGUAAAAUAAAAAUUUAAAAUAACCAUCAGAACCGCAAAUAUCUACAAAUUAAGAGAAGUUGCAGAUGAAUGAAUAAAUGAAUAAAAGGGGAACUAAAACACUAACAUGUUGAUUGUACCCAAUCUAAACAACUCCAGGCAAUACAAAUCAGAGAACUCCAGACCAAGAAGUAGCUUUAAAACACAUGGUAUCAGUGGUUACCAAAUUAAUUUGCCAUUGGUACUAUAUGGUAGGUGCUGAUAAUUAAGUAAUCAUUAGAUUAAUGCAUCAUCCCUAAUGACUUAUUCCAAAUUGAACGAGAAACACAUAAAACUUAUCCAAUGUCGAUCUCUAUCUAAAUGCAAUAUCAUCUGGCCCUAUCUAAAUGGUUAAUUCCAACAAGUCAUUUAUAUCAAUAAUGACUUAUUCCAAUACGGCCCGUAUCAGGUAUAAGAAAGGUUCUUAUGAGAACCCUCUUUCAUCACGUCCGUCCGUUUCAAAUAAAAACCUGGACCGUCGAUUUUUUUCACCAGUUACAUCCGGUUCCAUGUUACCAAAAAAUAUUAGAAAAAUUGAUAAGGUACUAAUAGCUCAAUAGUAGCUUACGUAGUAGCUCUCUUAGUAAAUCCAAAAAAUUUGUAAAAAUUAAAUUUUAUUCAAAAAAAAACAAAUUUCACUUCACUCUCCCUCCAAAAACGUCCUCCGGCACGGCGAUUCUUCCGUUUUCCCGCAGCACUCCUCCGGUCUUCCCCGUUUUAUUCUCUGAGAACGGUACAUCCAACCGCUUCGAUCUUGUUCUACUCUUCCCUCCAAAAUCGAUUUCCUCCGGAGCUGCGAUUUUUUCUGUUCUCCCGUACAUCUCCUCCGGUCUAGCUCCGUCCUGUCGUUGUCGCGUGGGUUUUUUUCUCUCACAGCGUUUCAUUCAACCAAAACUGCUCCCCGUCCUGUGACUAAAAGAACUGCUACCAGCACGGCAACGAUAGGCGAUAGCAAGGAGUUCAUAUAGAGAAAGAAGAGGGCGGAGACGUUCAAAACCCUAAUUUUAUUCAAAAGAUUUUUUGUCUGAAGAGUUUGGAGUGAUUUAGAAGGGAGGGGUGGAGCAGGGCUGGCCGCCCAUAGAUGCUCUUCAAAAUCUUAUCAAUGAGGCGAAAAUCCAAGCUGUGUGGUGGGAUCUCUGCAUAUUCGGAAUUUCCUAUUUUCUUUCUCGUGAGUGGAUUUAUUAUCUUUUGUUUUGCUGUUUUAUUUUUUGUUUUCCGUCGACUAAUUGGAUUGUUUUGUUUCAUUCACAAUUAUUGCUUUCCUCCUCUUCAAUCUUAAUCUCCAGUUUCCAGUCAUUUUCUUUUCUAUUUCUUCUUGGGUUUUGGCAGUUAAGCAAGUAAAAAUAGGUAAUUUUUUUAUGAAGUUGAAACUUACGAGUUAAGAAGAUAAAAUUUACGUUACCUGUUCUGAAAUUAGAGAUUAUAGUGGAAGCCUACUGAUUUUUUAUCACUCCCUUCUACUUCUCCUAAUAUUUUUAUAUUAAUAGAUGUUUAACAAGCAUUUUCUGAUGAGGAUUAAUACUGGAUGUCAUUGAUGAAAUAUCAGCAAGGAUUAAAGAGAUCAAUCUUUUUGAGUUGCAGACAAAGUAAUUUUGUUUACCUUUACAUUGACAUACCUAUCUUUGUUCCAUAAAAUUUAAAGUAAUUACACGUGUUUCAGAGAUGCGAUUCAGUUAAUUUGUGACCAUUUAGAAAUGUUCAGAAGAUAUCAAUCUUCCAUAGGUGGUGUAAAAGUUAUCAGUACUCUAUCACAUGAACAGAUAGAUGAGAAAUUGAAGUGCUAUAUGUGGUAUUGUGGGGAGCUUGACCCAGCUAUAAGAUCUCCAGAGUGAGUACAAGGUUUGUCUUAAAUGAUAUGAUUUUUCAUUAAUCCACAAUACAUGUUAUAUGCCAUAUAUAUUAGUUCCUUGGUUGUUAUGACAAUUGACCCCGCCUCUACUGUUUUCAGGUCCUUCAACGUGUCUCGCUGGAGGAGUUUUGACUUCAGUUUUAGAACCAAUGGAUGUUCAAUCCCCACUUGUUAAGUGUUUAAGUACUGAUAUUACCGGAAGCACACUACACAGUAGCGUAAACACAUAAUAGCAGAACUGUACGACCCAGUAUAGGAAUGGGUGGAAUAGAUGUUGGUCUAAAUACUGAUAUUAGCAGAAGUACACUACACAGUAGCGUAAACACAUAAUAGCAGAACUAUACGACAUACUAUAUGAACGAGUGGAAUAGAUGUCGGUCUAAGUACAGAUAUUAACAGAAGGACAAUACACAGUAACGUAAACACAUAAUAGCAGAACUAUACGAAACAGUAUAUUAAGGGGUAAAAUAGAUGUCGGUUUAAUUACUUAUAUUAGCAGAAGGGUACUACACAGUAGCGUAAACACAUAAUAGUAGAAGGGUACUAAAUUAGAUAGUAGCGUAGUCGGUGGAUGAAUUGUUCGUCUAAGUACUUGUAUUAACAUAAGUACAAAAGAUAGUAGCGUAGUCAGUAAAUGAAUUAUUCGUCUAUGAACUCAUAAUAGCAGAAGUACACUAGAUAGUAGCGUAGGCAGUGAAUAAAUUAUUCGUCUAAAUACUAAUUAUAGCAUAGAUACGUUAGAUAGUAGCAUUGCACACAAAAAAGAUAGUGUCGGAGAACAUGAAUGAUAGUCUGGAUUUAAAAUCUACAUUAAUUCACGAACAAAAUGCAAAAUAAAGAAAUGUCAUUUUUUCUUAGCAACUGAAUCGUGACAAAUUUCCUUUGCGUUCUUUAUCCGCAUUGCGUUAAUUUUCGUUGGUCUUCCACUCUUACCACUCCUUUUUGUUUUAACCUUCGUCGGAGACCCAAUCAAUACAGUGGUUUUCUUCGUCUUUUGGAUUCUUGUUUAUUGAUGUUAUAGAAUAUAAAUUUGAAACGAGUAUUGAUGCAUUAAGUUUUUGAAGAAUUUCGUCACCAUAUUUGAGUAGUAUAUCAAGUUAAGUUUGUCCUAUCUUCGCAUAAUUCAUUAUUGUCUGCGACAUUACUAAGUACUUGGAUACAGUGGCGUAUUCAGGAUUCCCCGGCAGGGGGGGCAAGAUUCGCCGAAGGCGAAAUUUUUUUUUUGUAUUAAUUAAAAAACCUAUACAAAUUUUGGCAUGACCUAUUCAUAUAAUUGAUUAUAAAAACCUAUAAAAAAUCAAUACAUUCAUAUUUCAUAAUUAAUAUCCAAUACAUUAAUUAAUAUUCAAAUUAAAAAUAAAUACAUUCAUUUAAUUAACAAUAAAAAUUUCAAAUACAUUUUACAUUACUUCAAUGUCCUACGACGAGGACACAUAUCAUUAAAUAUUUUUAAAAUAACUUCGUUGUCUAUAGUUUUAAAAAUAUCUUUUUCGAUAUAUGUUACUAAUCAGUCAUUCAUCAAACUAUCACCAAGGCGAUUUCUGAGACGAGUUUUAACGAUAUGCAUUGCUGAAAAACAACAUGGGAACUCUCAAGGGAAAAACACUUCUUUGAUAAUGUGAGAAAAUGGUUUUCACAAAUUAUCUCUAUGAUUAUGGAGGAUUAGGUGGGAAAACUAUAUACCAAAGACUCACUUAGUAGUUUGCCACUUUAUUCUGAGCAUAAUAAUGCAGCAGAUUGAAUUCAAGUCACAUAAUAAUGAAAUCCAAAAUUCAAAACAAAUCAUCUCAUUUGAUUGAAAUCUGGCAUCUUAUACUGUUAUUGAUUGGUGAUCGAUCUUGUGUGUUUACUAUAGAUAGUUUACUUAUUUCCUUUCAACUUGAUCAUUCUGAAAGAAAAUAAUUCUAAAACAACAUCACAACAUUUAUUUUAUACUUCAUAUUGUGUUAUUCUAUUAUUCUUCUUUUCAGAAUUUUAGUGGUGGUAAUAAUUUUUGGAAUAAAUAAUUAUAUUUACCUAGGUUGUUGAGAAUUUUCAGAAUUCUUGGGGGCAGAAUUUUCAGAAUUCUUGGGAAGUCUUUAGAUCUUCACCUAGGUUGUUGAGGGCAGACCGCAGACAUACACAGUCACACACCACACACGCACUGACGCUGGGACGCACACCAAUUUGAUCCCGCCUGAAGGCUGAAGAUGGUAGUUAAUAGUUUGGGGGCAGUGGCGUAUCCAGUUUUUGAAGGACCCAUCAACUGUUUGGGGGUAUGUUAUUGAUCUUGGACUCCUUGUGUACUAGAAACAACUUAUAUAGAAAGCAACGGAGGGAGAAAUCGUGAGGUGGAUGGGUCAUGAGAGUUGGGAGGAGGAGAGAUUGGGGAAGAAAUUGAAGGAGGAGGAGGAGAAAUCGAUAGUUUUGGGGAAGAAGAUUGGGGGAAAGAAAUUUAUAUAAUAUAUAAAUAUUGUGAAAUUUAUACAUUAACCCUUAAAAAUAUUAAUAUAUUGUGAAAAUUAUACUAAACCCCCUAUAAAAAAUUUAAUUACAUAUAGGUCCUUCAAAAAUUUCCAAAUUUUAGGGGGGGCAAUUGCCCUCCCUUGCCCCCCCUGGAUACGCCACUGCUUGGAUACAUAUAUAGGAUUAUCAGGUUCUGAAAUUGAUGGAAAAAUUUUGUGAUUCUUGCAUAGUUUUUUCCACCUAGACAUUUUUAAAUCGUUAGGUAAAUUUCGAUACCGGUUGACAAUCAAAUAAUGUAUAACAUGAGAGCAUGGGACGUCGCUAUAUUCGAAUCGAUGGCAUGUGCAUGUAGGUGUAGAAUUUCCUUGAGUAAGAGUGAGUUUAAAUAACUCGCUCGAUUUGUCUUUCUAAAGACAAAACAGGUAGAUAUUGAAUAUCUUAUAAAAAGAAAAGUGAAUUUGUCAAAUUAAUAGUUGAACCUAACAAAAAAUUUAAGAAAAAAAAUAUACAAAAAAGGAAAGUGAUAUCGUGAACCGUAAACCCUAACCUGAAAAAAAACAUGCAAUCAAAUUGAAGAUUUAUGACUAUAAGUAGGUAAAAGAUAGUAACAAGAAGAAAAAUUGGAAGUAUACGGAAGAAGAAAAAAAAUCUGACAAUUUAACGAAGGGAAAAAGAGUGUGAGAGGGAAAAAAAUUAAAAUUUACAUUAUGAAGAGAGAGAGAUUGUGAGAGAGAAAAAAAAUUGGUUUAUGACAUUAGAAGGAGUGAGAGGGAGUUUGUGAGGUAGAGAAAAAAAUUAAAAAAACUAAACUCUCAUAAUUUUUGAAGGAAAGAGAAAAUAUAAAGAAAAAAAAUUAAAAACCAAAGUCUAACAAUUCCAUUGAGAGAGAGAAAAGUGAAGAAAAAAAAUUAAAAAAUUAAAUUUAAUACAUCUCAUGGGCUCUCUCUACCGGUUGGGAAUGGAGGGUGGAGAUUUAUUAAAGAAAAAUGGAAGGCGAUAAAGUUCUCAUUUGAGAACCUAAAAAAGAGGUUCUCACCUGAUAUUUUUUGUAUUCCAAUAUUAUCGAGAAAACCCAUAAAACUUAUCCAUUGUUAUAAUGUUUUACUGCACUUGUUUUUUUUAAUUUAUUCAAAUCACUUUAUAAACAUCCGACUAUUUUAUUUCGAGUGACACGAAGUUUAGACGAGGAUAGAGUGUCAAACGAGCAGAGUUUUUGCUUAUAAAGUUGGGUUCGGACUCGACUCGUUAAGGAAUUGUCCAAACUCAUGCUGUCCAAAUUCGGGCUCAGCCAAAAUUGAACAAAAUUAAAGAAAAAAAUUUAAAAUCUGAAUAUUUUUAAAAAGAUUUAGGUUUUUAUUUAAGCUUUCUUAUAAUUUAUUCAAUAGUCAUUAUCAAUUAAUAUCUAUAUUUUAUUUAAUUAUUAAGAAUCCUAUAACGAGCUUAUCGAGCCGAGUCGAGCUUGAAAAGUCUAAGCUCGAGUUUGGCUCGAUAAUCUUAUCAAGUUUGAGUUUUUGACUGACGAGCCCGAGCUUAACGAGCCGGACUUUUGUUGACACCUUAGGCAAGAACUAGUGCUUAGAGAAUAGACAAAUAACAGAAAAGACAACAAAAAGAUGUCUAGGUGGAUGUCUUGGUGGUGAAUGAUGCUCAUUAAUUGAGCCCAUUAUAGAAUAAUUAAUAUUUAAUUUAAUGACUAAAAUAACGUACUGUAUAAGACACUAACACAUGUACGACGUAAAAUAAUGUGCAAGACAUUAGCAUAUGUACGACGUAAAUUCGAUCUAAUAGACAUAAUCAACUUUUAACACAUAUACCAUUCGUAUUAUACGGCGUAUCUUAAUAAUAUUGUAUUUACAUAAUCGUUAUGUUUGAGGACGUCCUCGUAAGUUUUGAAACUUGGUGUCACAUUUCUUGCUACAAGUCAAGUUAAAAAAACUUGGAGACAUUAACUGAGAAUACUCUGCUUAUCCCAUCUAGCCAUUUAUAAUGUAAUGCUAAAUUUUUCAAUACUAGUGGUCCAUACCCCCUUCCAAAAUUUGUCAACCUCUUUUCUAUCAUUAUGGAUUCUCAGACGUUCUUGUAUGUUGGUGAGGUACCACUCCCGGUUCAAAUACAGUUGUAGUUGAGCCUACAUUUUAUGACUUUAUCCAUCUUGUAUUUGUUAUCUAUUAUUCCAACUCAUAGAACGGAAUCUAACCUUCGUUGUUUGUCUAUAUCUCUAAGGUCUUUUCUCCUCACAUACCUCUCUUUCAUCCAUGAGGUUCAGAUAGAGUCCUGCGCCGACCAAAUCUUUUUCAACCUGAUUAUCCUAGAUGCCUCUGCUGGUUUUAAAAAGCAUCUCAUCCCUAGGCCCCCUUCCUUCUUGGGCAGCGUCAUUUGUACUUAAGUAAAAUCUUGCUUUUCGUUCUAUAUAUACCUAUAUAAAAUGGACAGAUCCUUAAGUGUUUCUUCUGAUAGUCUACAUAACACAUUUUAAAUAUACUCAUAAUUCUUCAAAUGAAAUAGUUGGCCAUUAAUUGAACUUGGGCUCAUUAUAAGGACAAAAAUUCACACUUGAUUCAGAAUCUUGCAGGUUCAGAAAUGGUCAAAGUUGAAAAAUGAUUUCUUCUACAAAUCAAAUCAAGUUAAAAUAAACUUGGAGGCAUUAACUGAGAAUACUCUGCUAAACCUGCUAAUACUAAAAGUCUAGACUUUGGUUCGAACGAGGAAAUGAUCGCCGGCGGUACUCUUCCGAUCUCAUCCCCAUCCACAAAGCGGUACAUCCUCCGCCUCUUCAUCUCCCUUAAGUACGUGACGGCUAACGUGGUCGAUAUCAAACGCGGCAAAGUUGCCGCGACGGCCUCCUCUGUCGAGAAAGCAUUAAAGGAGGGAGUGGUGAUGGUGAACGGCCAGAGAAGAAAUAAUGCCAAGGCCGCCGACGCCGUUGGUGAAGUUCUUGCAAUGAGGCUCAAAGUAGACGGUCUUGCUCGCGAGCCGAUAUAUGCAGAUGUCAGGAAGGAAGUUGAGAAGAAAGGGUUUAGGAAUCAAACUAGGGUUUGGGCUAUAAUCAAUGCUCUACGUACACACGGUGUUAAUCUUAUUUUCAAAGAUCCUCAGAAUACUUCCGACGGCAUUCAGCGAUGGCGAUCCUCCUCCCGGUAAAUUGAAUAAUUCUUAUUCUUAUUGUUCUGCGGAAUUGUUAAUACAAUGAAUGCCGAAUGAUUUGACAUUUGCAGAUAAUGAAUGAAUUAUGGGGCAUUGUUGGUGUAACCCAAAGAUUUACAAAUCUGAGUUCCUUUUUUACUUUGGGUAGAGAUGAAAUCGAUUCUACAAGCUUCAUCAGUGUUAUUUUAUCCUUGACCAGAUUAAUUUUUCCCCAAUUUUGCCACUGUUUUCUGUCUGGGUUUUUUCUCCCAAUAAUAAUAAUAGAAGAAUCCAAGAACUUUUGCUUCUUUGAUUGAUUUCUCUCUUUCUUCUGCUAAGACACACACCAUCUUUAGACUAUAUUGAUUCUCAGGCUAGUUUUGUGGGCAUAUGACAUGUAUGUUUGUUUCUUCAAGUGUUGUGAAAGGAAUGGUGGAUCACUUUUAAGUAAAGCAACACAUAUUCAUAUGCACAAUCCAACCAUUAAAGCAUAACAAGUGUCACACGGGAACCAAAAAAAACUAGCUACCAUGUGUUCUUCUUUUCUUUAGAGAUUGGAGAAAUUCUGAAAAGAGAAAAAGAGUGUUGAAGGAUAGAAACUUAUGUGUAAAGUUUUGAAAGAAAAAAAUCUUUUUCUUUUCAUUUUAAAGGAAGAACAGAACAUUGAAUCAAAAUUCAAAAUAUAUGUUAUGACAAUUGUUGUAGAAGAAGGCACCAUCACUAGGGAGGAUCAUCACGGUGAGUUGGUUAAGACUCCACAAUGUCUCUGCUCAUGGUCUACUGGCAUUGCUCGUUACAUUUAUGCUCUUAUCUUCCUCACCACUAAUCUUUUGGCAUGGAUGGUUAGAGAUUACGGCCGAGUUGCACUUUCUAAGCUUCGGAGUAUGCAGUUUAUUCUCUCUUCUUCUUCAUUAAGUACAGUUUUAUUUGUUUUUGUUUUUUCACUCAUAGAAAAUUUAGAAAUACAAGGUUUCCAUUCGGGAAAGGAAUGCUUAGGCUCAGAAGGCGUGCUCCGUAUAAGUCUUGGUUGCUUUGUAUCCUUCAAAAAAUAAAAACUACCCACAAUUUAUAUCGAAGUACAUCUUUAAUUAUGUUUAGCUCUUCUUUUUUGUGAUGUUUGUUUCAACGGUUGGAACAAGACAAUUGGGGCAACGUAGGAAUUCAUGGCAUUCAAGUUGGUGGUCUGCCAAGAUUAUUCUAUGGAUGAUUUUCAUGAUCUUCCCUUUCAUCAUUCCUUCUGAUUUUGUCUUGUUCUAUGGUAAGCCAUUAUUUGUAUAUAUUUUUUAAAUUUAUAUUUCUUAUGAGUUAUGAAGUAACAUUGCAGUUUGCAUACCAUCAAAUUCCAUUGUAUCAUUUUUUUAACUAGAUCUCUUAUGAAUUCUAACUUUCCUUAUCAUCAAACAUCAAUUGUAGGGAAGAUUGCUCAUUUGGGUGCAGGGUAUUAUUCUCUUUCGUCGACCCAAUAUGAUUGUUUUUCUUUCUCUAAACCCUUUUUCCAAUUUUUAUUCCUUAAUAGUCAAAUUUCUUGAGAUAUCUUGUUUUUUUUCCUUUUUUCAGAAUUUUCCUCUUCAUUCAACUAAUAAGUGUGAUCAGCCUAAUAACUUUGUUAAAUGAUUAUUUUCGGAUGGGAAACAAUGCUGAGAGAUGGUGGGUACACUGUGCAAUUGUUUUAAAUAUGUAUUUUUCACUCUUAAUUCUUGAUCUCUUCUUCUUUGACACGUUUGAAUUUUGUUCUCAGUCGAAUUCAAGUAUUCGUCAUCUCAAUUACUGCAUAUAUCGUAGCGUUGUUAUUCAUUAUCUUAAUGUACAUCUGGUAUGCACCAAAUCCAUCUUGCAAGAUCAAUAUAUUUUUCAUCACAAUGACAUUGGCACUUAUUCAACUAACAACAUUCGUCUCCACACUUGACAAAGUGAGUUUACAUUUCAUUAUCUCCACAACCAAACAUCGUAACAACACAUGUGAUUUUUUCAGUCUUUUUAUUUCUUCCAAGGUGAAUGCAGGAUUUUUAACCCCAGGUUUAAUGGCGGUAUACCUGGUUUUCAUAUGCUGGUGUGCUAUUAGGAGGUAAUUUCAAUCAUUCGCAUUCGUGAUCAUUGAGUUUUUAAAAUCAUUUAAAUCAAAGUGUAUUAAUUUUAAUAGAAUCGUUAAUCACAGUGAGCCACACAGUGAGAACUGCAACAAGAAUGAUGGAAUGCAUUCGAAUUUGAUGACUUAUAUAGUAAUAUAUUUUUUUCAUAAUCCGCCCUGAUUUAAUACGCCCUGCCCUGGUUUAAUAAAUAGUUUUUUUUUUCAGAGUUUUGUUGUGGCUGUACUUGUUAUAGUCGUUGCGACAUUCACAACUGGGAUUGAUUCCAAGUGCUUUCAGAUGAUUUUUUAUGUCAGCAAACUGCAUAAAACUUCCUGUUCUUUAUUUUUCAUAGAAAAUCUAUAAUUCUCAGUAGAUCACUUCUUGUGUAGUUCAAGAAAGUGAAAACAGAGACAGAAGAAGAUGUUCCAUAUGGUUAUGGAUUCUUCCACUUUGUCUUUGCAAUGGGUGCUAAUUACUUUGCAAUGUUGUUCAUUGGUUGGAACACACACCAUACUAUGGAAAAGUAAGUUUCUCUGAACAUUGAUUCUGCAGUGUGUUAUUUCCUGUUCGUCAAAAUGUAUUAACACUUUUAUUAAAUAUUGAAUGGAAAAAAGUUUUUAUCGAGUGAUAUCGUCAAAGAAUUUUACUUUUUUACACACUGUAAUUAUUCUCCAAAUGGUUUAAUUGCAGAUGGACAAUUGAUGUUGGAUGGGCGAGUACUUGGGUUAGAGUUGUGAAUCAAUGGCUUUCUGCAGUUGUUUACUGUGAGUAUAUUUUAGUUGUUUCCUGUGUUCUUUUUCUUUUCUUUUUCAAAGUAGUUAAAUUUUAACAACAAAAAAAUCAUUUUCUUUUUUGAAGUAUGGAUAAUUGUUGCGCCAUUGUUUUGGAAGAACUUGAGAUGUCCAGAGCCCCAAGAAGGAUAACUUGAAUCAAAAUUGACUAAUUGAUUACUAUUUUGCAAAAAUGAAAAACGAAAGGUAACUUGUUACGAUUCUUAAAAAACACAAACACAACACGAUUUUAACACGAACAGUCGAACACAUGUUCAUAAAAAUACGAUUUUAUGAACACGAACAGUCUAUUCGUGUUAAUGAAAAUUAUGAUAUAUUGACAUAACUAAUUGUGUAAUUAGUAUAAUUAACUAACAUUUUGAUUAAUUAGAUUUAAUUCUCUCUUUUGUAACUACCUAAGAUUGUAGGGUUUAGGCUCAUCCCAUAACUUCAAUCCAACUCCGACCAUGGAUUUUUUCUACGUGUUUUUCUGCAAUCAUCUUUCUUACCUUCCCAACACCGUCCCAAUGCCGGGAAAUUGCGAAAAUAUUUAAUCAACGACGCUAAGCUUGGACUUUAUCUCAAGGAACCGUGAUGAGGGUAGUGGUUUUGUAAAACCAUCUGCGAUUUGGUCCCUUGUCGAUAUGUGUGUUAGCAUUGAAACUUACACAAAGGAUAUUCAUAUAAGAUAUUAACUGAUGAGAAUGAGAUGUUAUGUCUCAUACAUAUAUAAAACUCUAUAUCUAAUAUCUAUCGAUAAAAGAAAUAAUUAAUCAAUUAAUGGAAAUAAACUAAUCAAAUAAAGUCUUAAAGAUGAACUAAACAGUACCAAAUUACCAAUCCAAAUAUAUAUAAUAAAUAUGUUUUCAAGUUUUGCAAACUCACAAUAUAAAACUCACACACCACAAACUCAUAAUAUAAUUAAACUCACAACAUUGCUAAAUUUUUUUUUUGCUAUAUUUUAUAAAUCCUCCUCUCUUAUUCCUUUAUUAUAAAUCCUCUUCUUUUUGCAUCGAUUUUUUGCUUGCUGGUCCUCCCAAAGUAAUUUAUUAAACCAUUCUUCGCUACAAUUCAUGGAAUCCAAAUUUGGUGCACUAUUUUCACCCAUAAACAACCGAUUCAAUUUCUCACAAUCCCACACACGAAGAGACUUCAAUGAAUGCCAUUCCAUUUCCGAUUUUUCAUAACACUCUUGUUUCCAGACAUUCUCCAAAUUCGGUAAAUUGCCCAAUUUUAUAUGUCUUAGCUUGGGAAACAAUGUCUUUGCUUUGGAACCACUAACACCUUGGUCAUCUUUUUCAAUGAUAUUUUCUAACUCAGAACAAAAAAAAAUCUCCAACUUUUCUAAACAUACAACACAUUCUGCCACAUUCCAUGGAAAAAUAAACUUCAAUCGAUUGCAUACAUAAAUUGAAAUUCUUCCAAGUCUUUCAAACGAUUUGGUGGGUAUUAUGGUUUGAGUUCCAGUAUUCACAAACAUAUUUUCAAUUGCAACCAUCUCCAGAACUAUAUAUUCUAGUUUUGGUAGAAUUGGAUCACCUUGUGUGUUAUAUUGGAUGAGAUUCUUCUGUUUACUCAAAUAUCCUAGGUGUAGACUUUUCAAAUUGCACAAUAAUUUCACGAUAUCUUGUUCUAUCACUGAAGAAAUUUCUUGUGUGGCGCAAUUGUCGAAAUCACACAUAAACAAUGCUUUUGUUUUCUCAAUCAAAAGUACUUGUGACCAUUUUGCAAAAUUGCUUAACUGAACAUAAGGAAGGACUAACAUAUUUGAACUCCAAACUCUUGGCCCAUCAUAGGACCUAAUAUAUCUAAUGGAAAAGUAUUCAACUGAUGGGAUAACGAGACUUGGUGCAUAUUCACGAGAAAAGAUAGUUUUAUCAUCUAUAUCAAUAUGAAGUGAGUAUAAAUUUUCCAAAUCUUUUAGCUCCUCAAAUGCCACAUAGUCACCAUCUUCUUGAUUGUAAGCUUUCCAUUUGCUGUAGCUCCCUUGCAUGUAUAAUUCUUCUAAUGUGUCUCUUAGAAUCGAAAAAACUUUCGGUCUUAUGAUAUCUAUCACGGUGUUUGAAAAAUCAAUCGAUCUAAGAUGAAUAAGCUUUUUACUAAACUCCUGAUUUAGCUCUGAGAUGUGUACAUUCUGCAAGCAAAGAACUGAAAGAUGUUGCAAGAAGAAAAGGUCUGUUGUAUCGACUGUGAUAUUUUGAUGAAGGGUUUCGAACAUUAGAACACGAAGCUUCGCUAGUUUCUGAAGGCAUGUUUCAGUGAAUUCUUUUAUAGAUAUCGAUGUUCCCCUCAGGUCCAAGAACAAUAAAUUUGCCAUCCCUUUAAAGAAAUCAGGAGGAAUGCUUUCCAAUAUCUUGUUACUAUUGAAUGAUAAAAACUGCACUUCACUACGUAGUUGAUCUGUUAAAUUUAAAUUUUGAAUAGAAGUGAUGAACUUUUUGAUAUUGAAGAAACCUUCGAAUUCAUUCUCCGCAAUAGAAAUAGCUACAUCCCGAAUAACAUCAUGCAUCCUCGCUGAAUUUUUCUUGUCUUCUUUUUCUUCUACAACAUCUUGUAAUAACCCUUUCCUCUUCAAACUUAUAAAUAUAUCACGAUAAGUAUUCAAUGCUCUUUGUCCACGAUAAGUAUUCAAUGCUCUUUGUCCUCUAUCUUUCCUUACACACUUAUCUGCUGGUCCAAUGUCAUAGCAAAUAAAAUCUCUCAAUUGAAUUUCUUGACCUUGAGGAAAUAAGCUACAUAGUAGGAAACCCAUCUUCAAAUCAUCUUCUUCUAGGUCUUCAUAACUAAACUUCAGUGGAACGUACACAUCUUUCACAAAAUUAGACACUUUUUGAGGACAACCUUCACUUAGAAAAUUUAAACUUAUUCCAUUUAAUCUCUUCUUCUCCACGAAGUGUUUUUGCAACAACUGAUAUCGCUAAAGGUAGCCCUGCACACUUUCUACAUAUUUCUUGCGCUAUAUGGUUUAUUCUAAGAUGAUUAGGGUUAUUAUUAUCAUCAAUAUAGGAAUAUUUUCUGAAGAACUUCCAAGAUUCAGUUUCAUCAAGUCUUGCAUUCAUCUUGAUCUGUUCGGCCCCCAAUCUCCGACAAAUAUCUUGGUCUCUGGUUGUCAGAACAAUCUGACAACGUAGAUUUUCAUCAUUAAUGUCGAUACCGAUAUCAGUAAAGUUUAGAUCAUCCCUUACAUCAUCGAAUAUAAUCAAACUUACAAUUCUUUUCAAAUGAUAUGAAAUUAUUCCUGCUCUGACACGGAUCUCAUCUUUAGUCUUGAAUUCUUUUAACUCUUUAGUGGAGUAAAAACUACGAGCGAUAUUAUUUUGGAUGGUCUUGGUAUCAUUGUGUGAUACUGUUACCCAAAUAACAAAAAUGUUACCCCUUUGUCCCAUUUCAUUG